CAUCAUCGUUCUUUUAUUUUUCCAGGGAAUUGUUUUGCUUCUCAUAUUGAUAUGUGACCUUUGCUGUAUGGUCGAGAUAGACACUUCGGCUAGAUUCAAGACUCCUCAAGAAUCCUGAGUUGUAGAAUUCACCCGCUUGGUCAGAAUCUGGGGUUUUAUGCACUACGCAUGGUGAAAGGGGCGAGAAGAGGAAGCUUUGAAUAGAGAGCAUAGUAUAUAUGGAUCAUCUAGGGUUCCCAAUGAUCAAUUCAUUAUUCCUAUCUAAC